AUUGAACGCUGGCGGCAUGCCUUACACAUGCAAGUCGAACGGUAACAGGGAGCUUGCUCCGCUGACGAGUGGCGAACGGGUGAGUAAUGUAUCGGAACGUACCUUUCAGUGGGGGAUAACGUAGCGAAAGUUACGCUAAUACCGCAUAUUCUGUGAGCAGGAAAGCAGGGGACCUUCGGGCUUUGCGCUGAUUGAGCGGCUGAUAUCAGAUUAGCUAGUUGGUGAGGUAAAGGCUCACCAAGGCGACGAUCUGUAGCGGGUCUGAGAGGAUGAUCCGCCACACUGGAACUGAGACACGGUCCAGACUCCUACGGGAGGCAGCAGUGGGGAAUUUUGGACAAUGGGGGCAACCCUGAUCCAGCCAUGCCGCGUGAGUGAAGAAGGCC
rnacentral:rRNA from 1 species